rnacentral:lncRNA from 1 species
AUCUCAGAGGCGGAAUAGCCUGGAGCAACGGCUGGAAGGUAGGACUUGGGCCGGCUGGAGGACCAGGCCCCGUGACUGUUCCCUCCUCCCCAGCAAUGACAUCGCCCUCAUCAAGCUCUCACGCAGCGCCCAGCUGGGAGACGCCGUCCAGCUCGCCUCACUCCCUCCGGCUGGUGACAUCCUUCCCAACGAGACACCCUGCUACAUCACCGGCUGGGGCCGUCUCUAUAGUACGUGCUGACUUCUCUAGCUGGCCACAGGGACAGUGGCAGAAAGACAGGGCCUGGGGGCUGCAGGUUGAAGCCAACGGGCCACUCCCAGACAAGCUGCAGGAGGCCCUGCUGCCGGUGGUGGACUAUGAACACUGCUCCAGGUGGAACUGGUGGGGUUCCUCCGUGAAGAAGACCAUGGUGUGUGCUGGAGGGGACAUCCGCUCCGGCUGCAAUGGUGACUCUGGAGGACCCCUCAACUGCCCCACAGAGGAUGGUGGCUGGCAGGUCCAUGGCGUGACCAGCUUUGUUUCUGCCUUUGGCUGCAACACCCGCAGGAAGCCCACGCCCACGGUGUUCACUCGAGUCUCCGCCUUCAUCGACUGGAUUGAGGAGACCAUAGCAAGCCACUAGAACCAAGGCCCAGCUGGCAGUGCUGAUCGAUCCCACAUCCUGAAUAAAGAAUAAAGAUCUCUCAGAAAAUUCC